UAAGGAAUAUUGGUCAAUGGACGCAAGUCUGAACCAGCCAUGCCGCGUGGAGGAUUAAGGCCCUCUGGGUUGUAAACUCCUUUUAUCUGGGAAGAAAUGUACUUUUUCUUGAGUACUUGACGGUGCCAGAGGAAUAAGCACCGGCUAACUCCGUGCCAGCAGCCGCGGUAAUACGGAGGGUGCAAGCGUUAUCCGGAUUCACUGGGUUUAAAGGGUGCGUAGGUGGGCAGGUAAGUCAGUGGUGAAAUCUCCGGGCUUAACCCGGAAACUGCCGUUGAUACUAUUUGUCUUGAAUAUUGUGGAGGUAAGCGGAAUAUGUCAUGUAGCGGUGAAAUGCUUAGAUAUGACAUAGAACACCAAUUGCGAAGGCAGCUUACUACACAAUCAUUGACGCUGAGGCACGAAAGCGUGGGGAUCAAACA
rnacentral:rRNA from 1 species